CAGCUGCGAUAAGUAAUGUGAAUUGCAGAACUCAGCGAAUCAUCGAAUCUUUGAACGCAAAUGGCGCCCCCUGGCUCUCCAGGGAGCAUGUCUGUCUGAGCGUCAUGU
rnacentral:rRNA from 1 species